AUUCAGGUAGCUUAUGAAAAGUUUAAUAUUGAAAAUAUUAAGAAAAUAAUUUUUUAUUUUUGGAUA
rnacentral:tRNA from 1 species